rfam:Lachnobacterium bovis DSM 14045 genome assembly, contig: IE72DRAFT_scaffold00028.28
UAAAAUGAGAGUUUGAUCCUGGCUCAGGAUGAACGCUGGCGGCGUGCUUAACACAUGCAAGUCGAACGAAGCGCAUUGUUUGAAUUCUUCGGAAGGAAGAUAAUGUGACUGAGUGGCGGACGGGUGAGUAACGCGUGGGUAACCUGCCAUGUACAGGGGGACAACAGUUGGAAAC